CCUACGGGGGGCAGCAGUGGGGAAUAUUGGACAAUGGGGGGAACCCUGAUCCAGCCAUGCCGCGUGUGUGAAGAAGGCCCUCGGGUUGUAAAGCACUUUCAGUGAGGAAGAACGCCUGGUGGUUAAUACCCAUCAGGAAAGACAUCACUCACAGAAGAAGCACCGGCUAACUCCGUGCCAGCAGCCGCGGUAAUACGGAGGGUGCGAGCGUUAAUCGGAAUUACUGGGCGUAAAGCGCGCGUAGGUGGCUUGAUAAGCCGGUUGUGAAAGCCCCGGGCUCAACCUGGGAACGGCAUCCGGAACUGUCCAGCCACAGUGCCGGAGAGGAAGGUAGUAUUCCCGCUUUAGCGAGGAAAAGCCUUGGAAGCGCAAGCAAUAACAAUGGCGAAGGAGGCAUUCUGCACUGAUACAGACCCUGAGAUGCGAGAGCGUCGGUAGCACACAAGCAUAGCUACCAGAGUAGUA
rnacentral:rRNA from 1 species